UCAAACAAAACAUAUAAUCGAGACAUCACAUUCGUCUGCAAGAUUCGAUUUUCCAACCAGUGAAACGCAUUUCGCUCUAUAUAAAACAAAUCCAUGGGUCCACACAAAGGGAUCGUAAUCUAGCGAAGUUAAUUUGUACCACUUCAUGAACAAGUCAGUAAACGAACAACACUAGACGACAACUAGUCCCAUACCAUGACGUUUUGCCCCUGUGCCUUGCUCAACUCAAAGCCCGUCCUCAUGGCAACGGCUAUGGCGGUUGGUGCUGCAGCGGGAUACUUCAUAUUUGGACACAUCGGCACAGUUGGUCGAAACGACAAAGAAAAGGUAACUGGUUCAGGUCUUCGACGGGAUACAAGCGUGUAGCUGUCACAUCCUAAAGAGCCAAUUCAAGUGGACAAUUCGACGUGCAACGGCCGAUGCAUUGAAAAAUGGUGUCACAAAACACCCCAUGCUGAAUUCUGCAAUAAUAAAGCUAUGAGCUGCAACCAACCGACAUUGGACUAAUCGACUCUAGGUGCCCCUUACCCUGUGGGUUUCAAGAAUGAGUUACUGUUUGACUCCUCUUUUACUGGGAAAUAGUAAGUUAAAAGUUUGUUUAUCAGUAGAACACUAAUUACAAGGCAUAAAUUUUCGAAUCGUUGCUUGAGGGCUCUUGGUCGCUCCAAAGUGGCGUGGCGCCUCGCCAACGUAUAAUUUAAGGACAGGAAGAAGCUAUAAAUUCCGACUAUCUGUAGACAAUUCACGCUGGUCAUCAUCAGAGCCCCGAGGAGACGUGAAACCAGAGCUGGGAACUAACAAUUCACAAACACGGUUUGGGAGGUAAAUUUGCGUUCAUCGGGCGUCUGAAGACGCGAAAAAUUGGCGGGAAAUGCGCCGUUAAUCAUAGCUGCUGGAGACGCAUUUCUUUUGGAACAUUUGAAACAGAAUCCCCAUCAUUAGAACAAGUAACACGUAACACAAGACUUCUAUGAUUAGGUUUUGGCUCAUUACCAAUACACUAACACGAUGUGUCCCAUAUGUCAGCUGAUGGGUGUUACAACGGAUGGUCUAUAUGAGAAUUUACGGUCACACUUCUCACGUUUCGUCAUUACACGAAACGCCAUUUGUACAUCAAUGAGUUUCAUGCUUGUGAAACACAAAUUGCCCAUUAAAGGAUAUUCUGAGGAUUAAUCAAA